rnacentral:rRNA from 1 species
ACAUGUCCGGAAUCCCGAAGAGAUUUGGAGUGCUCGCAAGAGAACCGGAACACAGGUGCUGCAUGGCUGUCGUCAGCUCGUGUCGUGAGAUGUUGGGUUAAGUCCCGCAACGAGCGCAACCCUUGUCAUUAGUUGCCAUCAUUUGGUUGGGCACUCUAAUGAGACUGCCGGUGACAAACCGGAGGAAGGUGGGGAUGACGUCAAGUCCUCAUGGCCCUUAUGGGUAGGGCUUCACACGUCAUACAAUGGUCGGUACAGAGGGUUGCCAACCCGCGAGGGGGAGCUAAUCCCACAAAGCCGAUCGUAGUCCGGAUCGCAGUCUGCAACUCGACUGCGUGAAGUCGGAAUCGCUAGUAAUCGCGGAUCAGCAUGUCGCGGUGAAUACGUUCCCGGGUCUU